rnacentral:rRNA from 1 species
UCGGGAAUUUUGGACAAUGGGCGCAAGCCUGAUCCAGCCAUGCCGCGUGAACGAUGAAGGCCUUAGGGUUGUAAAGUUCUUUUGUCAGGGAAGAUAAUGACGGUACCUGAAGAAUAAGCACCGGCUAACUUCGUGCCAGCAGCCGCGGUAAUACGAAGGGUGCUAGCGUUGUUCGGAAUCACUGGGCGUAAAGCGCGCGUAGGCGGCUUAACAAGUCAGAGGUGAAAGCCUGGAGCUCAACUCCAGAACUGCCUUUGAAACUGUUAAGCUUGAGUGUCGGAGGGGAUAGCGGAAUUUCUAAUGUAGAGGUGAAAUUCGUAGAUAUUAGAAGGAACACCGGUGGCGAAGGCGGCUAUCUGGACGACAACUGACGCUGAGGCGCGAAAGCGUGGGGAUCAAACAGGAUUAGAUACCCCUGUAGUCCCUGAGCGGGCUGGCAAGGCGCAU